AAAGCCUUAAAAACCAACGCGAGUCUGUUCUGUGGUGUGACAAAGUGAGAAACCGGAGUAGCUGGGACCAGUAGGUGCCAGCAAGCAGGACACCACUGAACUUUUCUGUCCAGACUCCGGAGGUUGGAGAGGCACCCUGGGAUCAGGGUACAAGGCAGCACAGCCUCAACUUGUUUUAAUACAUUUCAGAUUGGAAACUGCAGCAGAAAGCACCUUUACCUACAGCCGCAGCCUGAAGUCUGUUGACAUCUGUGCGGGAUGAUUAACAACUUUCCUUGCUUGCUUCCACACCAGCCACUAUGAUAGUAUCUUCAGCAGCACAAGGACCUAAAUAAGGAUGCAGAUAGUACUUUGUUGGGACUUCAGAUCAGUACUAAUUCAGAAAGAUGAGCAGCAUUUAACAGGAGAGAUCACAGCUGGACAUUUAUCCGACUGCCUGAUAGAGUUCUACUUACAAAUAAUUGAAGAACACCCAUUGUAAGUAUGUCUUUAAAAAUAAGCACAAAACACAAAUAAAGUUGAGGUAGGCCUAAACUCCUGUAUUCA
rnacentral:lncRNA from 1 species